AUGGGCUCCUCAGAGCAGAUGGUAAUCGCUAAGCUCAAUGCCACCCGGGAUGCAUUAAGCAAGCUUCUUGGUGGAGGCAAUCAGCAAGUGUUGACAACCGGAGUUGGCCAUGGAUUGGGGGUUGAGGUUGGAGAACUUAGGGAAUGCAAGCAGAAGCUUAUUGAGCAGUGCAGCAGGAAGCAUUGGCCAAAAACCAUCUUUAAGUUAGAGAAGGAAGAUGGCCCGGCACAUGAUAGGACAUUUGUUUACUCCGCUCAGGUAGAAACCCAAGGUGGUAUUUGGGUAACUUUAAGUGAUAAGAUGUCAAGGGUAAAGGAUGCGGAGAAUUCUUGCGCGCAGAAGAUGUCCGAACAUCUAUUGAAAUUGGAUCCAUGCACUUGA
rnacentral:rRNA from 1 species